rnacentral:rRNA from 1 species
CGCCUUUUGUAUGAAUUAGAAGGUCUAGCCUGCCCACUGAAAUUUAAAGGGCCGCGGUAUUUUGACCGUGCAAAGGUAGCAUAAUCAUUAGUCUUCUAAUUAGAGGCUGGCAUGAAUGGUUGGACGAGGUGCUUGCUGUCUCACUAAAAUGGUGGAAUUUAACUUUUUAGUCAAAAGGCUGAAAUAGUAUUGGAGGACGAGAAGACCCUAUAGAGCUUUAUAUUUAAAGUGUUUAGUUAUUUUAGAAGACCUUUAACUUAAUUAUUAAAAUAUUUUGUUGGGGUGACAGGGAGAUAAGAUAAACUCUCUUUAAGAAAAUACACUGAUGAGUGAGUGGGUGAUCCAUUAAUUGUGAUUAUAAGACUAAGUUACCUUAGGGAUAACAGCGUAAUCUUUUUCAAGAGUUCUAAUCGACAAAAAGGAUUGCGACCUCGAUGUUGGAUUAAGGGUUAUUUUUGGGUGUAGAAGUUCAAAGUUUAGGUCUGUUCGACCUUUAAAUCCUUACAUGAUCUGAGUUCAAAC